GCGGGCACUCUCGCGCAUCGCCGUGCACGCGGGAUUAGGCUUCUCGCGCAGCGGGCGGCCGGUGAGAGUGAAGCGCCGAGACAUCGAGCGCAUCCUCGGCCGUUAAGUCGUCGCAGAGCUCCGGGAAGAAGAAAAAAAUGUCAGAGACGAGUCCGCACCGGGAAACGAGGAGGUAACGGCGCUGGGAGCUCGACCGGUGGAUGGUGGAGGUGAAACUUUCCCCCCCGCGGCGGUUGUUGGUGACCCGUGAAGACAAGCCGCCGAGCGGGACAGGCGUCCCCGGCCGUCAACGCACCGUUUUCCCGCUGCUCCGCGGCGCAGGACCCGGCGUGGGCGUCCUCUCGUGCACUUUCUGACUUUCAUCACGAAGCGGCACUUUCUGCGCCAUGCUGUGGACCCGGUGGCUCGUGCUGCUGCUGUGCUGGGGGGCCGCGGGCGGCGAGCCGCGGGCGGACGGGAGGGACGAGGCCGCGGCGGAGGUCAGGUCGGACCCCCGCAGGCAGCGCACGCCUCCGCCGGUGGCGCCCCUGGACUUUGGCUACGUGUUCUCGCCCGUGUACGAGACCCACGCGUACUACGAGCCGGGGGCCAUCGGAGUACUCUUUCACGUGGUCCGUGCGUUCCUCUACGUUGUUCAACCGAACACUUUCCCCAAAGAUUUGGUUGUUAAACUUAUUCAACAAAAUAUGGGGGGAAUCAAAGUGGAGGAAUGGAGAAAGCCAGAAAAUGUUGUCCUGUUGCUGCAGUGGAUCUACUACGAGGCUGGAUUCCUCAUCUGUGCCUCCAUCGGGAUCCUGUUCGUGGUCCUCACCCCCGUCGUGGGCCUGUGUUUCUGUGUGUGUCGAUGCUGUGAGAACUGUGGAGGGGAGAUGCACCAGCGGCAGAGGAAGAACGCCGACUGCCAGAGAGGUUUCUACACGGCCUCGCUCAUCGCCGCCACCACCUUCAUCGUCGGGGGAGUGCUCAUUGCCUACGCAGCAAACCACAAUGUCAGUAGCCAGAUCAAAACCACGCGACGCUUCAUUAACACCAACAUCAGAGACCUGAAGACCUUCGCCAAUAACACACCUGGGCAAAUCGAAUACCUGACUGCUCAGUACACCACAGCAAAGAACAAAGUCCUGUCAGACCUUGACAACAUUGGGCCUUUGCUGGGCAGUAGGAUCCACAGUCAGCUGGAGAAAGAGGUGGUUCCCACUUUGGACAUUGCACUGCGAAUGGCAGGAGGAAAAGUUGAGAAUGCCAUCAAAGCGAUGCGGGAGACUAAAGAGGCCCUGGAGAACAUCAGCUCAUCACUGGAGGUGCUUCAGGAGGAGACGGGAAAGCUUCAGGCCAGUCUGUCCGGGGAGCGCGCGUCUCUGUCCAACACGCUGUCCGACCCGGCCUGCACCAACGGCGCGGUCUCGCACACCUGCAACGCCAUCAGGUCCACGCUGGCUCAGCUGGGAAUCAGUGCAGAUUUCUCUGAGCUCCCGGACGUCAGUCAUGCUUUGGCCAAUGUCAACGUAGUUCUGAGAACAGAUCUCAGCAACAUUGUACAAAAGGGUUACUCGUCCUUUAAUAACACACCCAAACUUGUCCAAGAGCAAACUAAAAACGUUGUUUCAGCUCUACCACGAGUGAAAGGCAUGCUGGAUAAGAUCGGCACAGAGAUCAACAGCUACGCCAAAAUGUUCCCAAUAGAAGCGUCUUUGGCCAACUUCACCAUUUACAUCAACAAUAGUCAGAAGAAAAUUGAAGCCUAUUACCCACAGAUCGACCAGUUGGAUUUCUACAGGUGGAUCGGCUGCGUGGCAGUGCUUUGCAUGGUCGUCCUGGUCCUGGCCUUCAACAUACUGGGACUUCUCUGUGGCACCUGUGGCUACGACAAACAGGCUACGCCUACAACCAGAGGAUGCCUCUCAAACACCGGCGGCAACCUGCUGAUGGCUGGGGUGGGAUUCUCUUUUAUCUUUGCCUGGGUUCUCAUGGGCAUCGUGUGCACCUUGUUCGCUGUUGGUGGCAACGUGGAGAAGCUGGUGUGUGAACCGCUGGCCAACAGGCAGAUUUUUAAGAUCAUAGACACUCCGUUCCUGGUCCAUCCUGGUAAGAAGAACUUCCUUCCUGGACUGCUGUUUCAGAAUCCAAACAUUGACUUGACUUUGGGAAGCAUGUACAGUGAGUGCCGUGAGAACAACGGUCUGUAUCACGCUCUGCAGCUGGAGACCUUGUUUAACAUCAACUCCUUCCUUAACAGAACUGUGUCCAACAAGGACUUGACCAAAGUGUUUGAGAAUGUGCAGGUGGACCUGCAGGACAUCACGCUGCUAGAACAGGCCGGCAGAGACAACCUCAUCCACUUCGCCAACUCUGGAAUUGGACAGAUUGACUAUGAGGCAUACCUAACGGAGGUAAACAAGGGGGUCACGCUUGUGGAUCUGCUGUCCUUCUCCACUGACCUGGAGGCUCAGGCCGAUCAGCUGCCGCGCGGCGCCCUGGAGAACGCACUGAAGGGACACGCCAGCAGCAUCAGACAGAUCCACAGAGACCAGGUGGUGCCCCUGGAGCAGGCGGCGAAAUAUGUCAAAGCGCGGAGCACCCUGAGCCAGAGCAUCAAGCUCCUGCAGAGGAUGUCCAACGACCUGCCGGCCAAGGUCACUAAUAUCCUGAGUGCCAUUGACGCAGCAGAGUAUCUCAUCACUCAUAAUGCCUCCCAUGUGGUGAAGCAGGAAACGAAGGGCUACACCCAGAGCUUGAUGGGAUACUUCACACAGUACACACAAUGGGUUAAACACUCUUUGACUAAAGAGGUGGCUCAGUGUAAACCCAUCAGUAACAUUGUGGACAGCAUGGAGAUAGUCGGCUGCAGCUUCAUCAUCGACUCAGUGAACACGUUCUGGUUCGGUCUGGGAGGCUGCUGCAUCUUCUUGAUACCCAGCAUCAUCUUCUCUGUCAAACUGGCCAAAUACUACAGGAGGAUGGACACAGAGGACGUGUUUGAAGAUGCGUCCAGCUGCUCGUACCCGUGGCUCGUGGCCCUUUGAUGUUAACAUUCGCUCGUCCCUUUGUCCACCUCACAUGCUCUCUCUCUUUUGGUACUGGCUCCCUCACCUUCGGAUCUUCUCUCUCCUCUCACGUCAGUGGAAAUCACAAGCGUGCCGUCCUAUUGAGGGGAUUCUGAUCUCAUAUUAACCCCUCGUGUUACCACUCACUCCCGCUGAGCGUCUCUCCAGCCUCGUCGCUGUCACCGCCACCCUCCCGUCCUGCUCCUCACCUGUCCUCCCUGGCUCUUAUAUUGCAGGAUGGGUAACACAGGUAGUCACAGUGGCCGAGUGUGCGCUGGAAACCUCGCUGUGGUCAGGUACGGGCCGCGCCCGACAAGCGUGCAUGCCUGCAUGGAGAGGUGUUAAGGGGUGAAGGGAUGUUUUCACUCGCACGCCCGGUUAAACAUUCCACAGCAGAUUUUUCCACAGUUCUUGAGUUUAUAAAGCAUCAUCCCACUCCCGUUUGUAUGCGUGUGUGUGUCUGUGUGUGCGUGUGCAUGUAGCUCCCCCUACGACUCCCUGCCUAUGUUCCCUCGGGCGUCCGCUCCCCCGAGCUCCUCCGGCUGGUCUCCAUAAAGAAAUGCUGUCCUCCCUGCAGAGGUACCAUCGCUCACGGCCGUCUGUGCUUCACCGCUAACGACGAGCAGACGCUGAAUCAUCACCUGUGUGACGUUACUCUGGUCACUGACCGAUCAUCACCCUUUUAUCCCACAUCCAUCUGACUCAAGAGAUGCCCGUGUUUCCUUGUCAAUUGUCCUUUUAACCAUUCUGAUUCAUAUGAAUGGUUAGAACACGUGAUGGUCCAUUCAAAAAUACCCUCUCACCAACACAGUAUCAUCAUAGAACUAAGUAUCUGUGAUGAGCUAUGAGCUUUUCAGCUUGAACAGAGUUGAUUCCAUUCUCUUCUUUCCACAGUGGACACGAGAACUGGAACUGAGUCUUCACUCACCCACUCAGGAUCACAGAACUUUCCAGUUUUGUAACCCAACUAUGGACAAAGGGACGGAAUGAAACCCAUCAGGAACUUCAUCGUGAGGACCUCGCGACCCGUCUACCCCACCAAGCCAUUUGACCAGGACCUCUGAUCAGCCAACUGUAAUGACCACAGCCUCAGUGCUCCUAGUGUUUGAUGAAGCACGAUAUCAUGUCAGAGCCACGUUCCUGCUAGUUUUACCUGUAGGUGAUGAAUUCAUACUUUACCAGCUUUAACAGGGUGACACAAGUGUACAUUUUUUACGCUUUCAAACCUUUUGAAAGUUUUAUAUAUUUUUUGUUAAUGUUUUAUAACAUUUAUGUAGAUUCUUUAGAGGUCUAGCUUUUUAUCUGUUCUUUCGUUGGUGAAUAUUUGUCAUUAGCUUGUGUCAUUUUGACUCCUCAAGCUGCACUAAACAGGUUCCAGGAUCCCCAUGGUGCACUUUGACAGUCUGGAAAAUAAACUUUUGUGUUGAGUGUUGGGACGAAUGAUAAUGAACUGAAGUGUCACUAGUGUAUUUUAGCCAGUUAGUGUAUAAAAAAACACGUUCAAAAUUUUGGUAUUGACUUAAAUCUUACAAAUUCUUACCCAGAAUGCAAAUGGAUAUAGCAUGCUAACAGAUUCACAGGUUAAGUCUAUAUAAUAGUUCUAUAGGUAAAUGGUUCCUGGGUAGAUAUAUUAGUCAUUCUGAACUAACUCUCUGCACAAAAGGCUGCUGUGUUUCCCAAACUGUCAAACCUCUUUAAACACAGAACAAGGGAAGUGUUUUUCCAGCAAUUAUCCUGGUCCUUGCUACUGCAGGAGUCAAAAUGUUACUGGCUACUAUACGACGGCUAACAAACACAAUACUGUGUCUGGGGCAUUUCUUGCCGGACCAUUAGUGAAGCCCUAGCUGCUUGUUUUGUCAGAGGAUUCUUUGUUUUUCUUCAGCGUGUUGUGGUUCGGGGAGUAAAGCUCCCAGAGGUCUCUGUGGUGUCAGAGGUCAAGAUGAAGCGCACAGACAAACACCAAGCUGGAGAGUGAGGGGAGGAAACAAAUCUGUGAAUAAAAACGUCACUGUACAAAG